rnacentral:rRNA from 1 species
UACGUAGGGGGCAAGCGUUGUCCGGAUUUAUUGGGCGUAAAGAGCUCGUAGGUGGUUCGGUAAGUCGGAUGUGAAAUCUCCAGGCUCAACCUGGAGGGGUCAUUCGAUACUGCCGUGACUAGAGUUCGGUAGGGGAGGUGUGGAAUUCCUGGAUGGAGCGGUGAAAGUGACGCAGAUAUCAGGAGGAACACCCGUAGCGAAGGCGGCACUCUGGGCCGAUACUGACACUGAGGAGCGAAAGCGUGGGGAGCGAACAGG